rnacentral:rRNA from 1 species
UACGGAGGGUGCAAGCGUUAUCCGGAUUUACUGGGUUUAAAGGGUGCGCAGGCGGAUAUGUAAGUCAGUGGUGAAAUCUCUAGGCUUAACCUGGAAAUUGCCGUUGAUACUAUAUAUCUUGAAUGCUGUGGAGGUAAGCGGAAUAUGUCAUGUAGCGGUGAAAUGCUUAGAUAUGACAUAGAACACCUAUUGCGAAGGCAGCUUACUACGCAGAUAUUGACGCUCGUGCACGAAAGCGUGGGGAUCAAACAGGAUUAGAUACCCUGGUAGUCCACGCCCUAAACGAUGAUUACUCGACAUACGCGAUACACAGUGUGUGUCUGAGCGAAAGCAUUAAGUAAUCCACCUGGGAAGUACGACCGCAAGGUUGAAACUCAAAG